GCCGGGCUGGGGCUCGGCGGGGCUGUGGAGGGGCCGGUCCCGCGGGCUCCGGCGCCUCCUCCUCGCCCGGGUCCCCGGCGCCCCGGCGGUGCCAGCGCCAUUUCCUCGCCGAUAACGACUGCUUUAAUUACAACGCGCACCAUCUGCCCAGAUGCGAAGCGAUCACAGGGCUCAAGCUGCGAUCAGACAUGGAACAGACGUGCCUGUGAUGCCGGUUCAGCGCGGCGUAGCUGCUGAACUCAAGAAGUUCUUUGGGAUGAGGGAGUUUUGACAUGGACGGCGUGCAGAAGGCCCCCCUAGGCUGUGUGAAUCGGUCAUUGUUGCAGCUUCAUUUCAUUGCUUGCUUUUUGUGUACUUGCCCAGUUUCCAAGUGGGGCCCCACUUUAUUUCUGUUCAGGAAAAGAAAUAAACAGAUAAGAA